AACGCACAUUGCACCCCUAGGUAAUCCUUGGGGUAUACCUGUUCGAGCGCCGUUUGUGUCUAAGGCUCUGCCUUGCGUUGAUGGAUUCUUGCCCCGCGAGGGGCUCCGUCGAAACACAUCGGCGCCCGUCUUGGCCCCGAAACGCAGCGAAAUGCGCGAAAGGCCUCUGACGGGCGGCCAGUCUACGAAAAGCAUGGCCUCGGAUCAGGUAGGGAUACCCGCUGAACUUAA
rnacentral:misc_RNA from 1 species